rnacentral:rRNA from 1 species
CAAUAGCGUAUAUUAAAGUUGUUGCAGUUAAAAAGCUCGUAGUUGAACUUCUGUACAUUCCCGGUGCCGGCUCUUGUCGAACCGUGGAGUGUGCAUCCGCUUACAAACUUAGCCCGGUCUUCAUUGGUCGACUAAGGGAGUAGGCCCUUUACUUUGAAAAAAUUAGAGUGUUUCAAGCAGGCAAUGGCUCGAAUACAUUAGCAUGGAAUAAUGGAAUAGGACUGAGGUCCAUUUGGUUGGUUAUUGGACUUUAGUAAUGAUUAACAGGGACAGUUGGGGGCAUUAGUACUUAACAGUCAGUGGUGAAAUACUUGGAUUUGUUAAAGACUAACUUAUGCGAAAGCAUUUGCCAAGGAUGUUUUCAUUGA